AUGCAAGUCGAGCGGUAGAGAGAAGCUUGCUUCUCUUGAGAGCGGCGGACGGGUGAGUAAUGCCUAGGAAUCUGCCUGGUAGUGGGGGAUAACGUUCGGAAACGGACGCUAAUACNGCAUACGUCCUACGGGAGAAAGCAGGGGACCUUCGGGCCUUGCGCUAUCAGAUGAGCCUAGGUCGGAUUAGCUAGUUGGUGAGGUAAUGGCUCACCAAGGCGACGAUCCGUAACUGGUCUGAGAGGAUGAUCAGUCACACUGGAACUGAGACACGGUCCAGACUCCUACGGGAGGCAGCAGUGGGGAAUAUUGGACAAUGGGCGAAAGCCUGAUCCAGCCAUGCCGCGUGUGUGAAGAAGGUCUUCGGAUUGUAAAGCACUUUAAGUUGGGAGGAAGGGCAGUUACUUAAUACGUGAUUGUUUUGACGUUACCGACAGAAUAAGCACCGGCUAACUCUGUGCCAGCAGCCGCGGUAAUACAGAGGGUGCAAGCGUUAAUCGGAAUUACUGGGCGUAAAGCGCGCGUAGGUGGUUUGUUAAGUUGGAUGUGAAAUCCCCGGGCUCAACCUGGGAACUGCAUUCAAAACUGACUGACUAGAGUAUGGUAGAGGGUGGUGGAAUUUCCUGUGUAGCGGUGAAAUGCGUAGAUAUAGGAAGGAACACCAGUGGCGAAGGCGACCACCUGGACUAAUACUGACACUGAGGUGCGAAAGCGUGGGGAGCAAACAGGAUNAGAUACCCUGGUAGUCCACGCCGUAAACGAUGUCAACUA
rnacentral:rRNA from 1 species